rnacentral:rRNA from 1 species
GUUAAGGCUGAGCUGUGAUGGGGAGAAGACAUUGUGUCUUCGAGUCGUUGAUUUCACACUGCCGAGAAAAGCCUCUAGAUAGAAAAUAGGUGCCCGUACCGCAAACCGACACAGGUAGUCAAGAUGAGAAUUCUAAGGUGAGCGAGCGAACUCUCGUUAAGGAACUCGGCAAAAUGACCCCGUAACUUCGGGAGAAGGGGUGCUCUUUAGGGUUAACGCCCAGAAGAGCCGCAGUGAAUAGGCCCAAGCGACUGUUUAUCAAAAACACAGGUCUCUGCUAAACCGUAAGGUGAUGUAUAGGGGCUGACGCCUGCCCGGUGCUGGAAGGUUAAGAGGAGUGGUUAGCUUCUGCGAAGCUACGAAUCGAAGCCCCAGUAAACGGCGGCCGUAACUAUAACGGUCCUAAGGUAGCGAAAUUCCUUGUCGGGUAAGUUCCGACCCGCACGAAAGGCGUAACGAUUUGGGCACUGUCUCAACGAGAGACUCGGUGAAAUCAUAGUACCUGUGAAGAUGCAGGUUACCCGCGACAGGACGGAAAGACCCCGUGGAGCUUUACUGUAGCCUGAUAUUGAAAUUCGGCACAGCUUGUACAGGAUAGGUAGGAGCCUUUGAAACGUGAGCGCUAGCUUACGUGGAGGCGCUGGUGGGAUACUACCCUAGCUGUGUUGGCUUUCUAACCCGCACCACUUAUCGUGGUGGGAGACAGUGUCAGGCGGGCAGUUUGACUGGGGCGGUCGCCUCCUAAAAGGUAACGGAGGCGCUCAAAGGUUCCCUCAGAAUGGUUGGAAAUCAUUCAUAGAGUGUAAAGGCAUAAGGGAGCUUGACUGCGAGACCUACAAGUCGAGCAGGGUCGAAAGACGGACUUAGUGAUCCGGUGGUUCCGCAUGGAAGGGCCAUCGCUCAACGGAUAAAAGCUACCCCGGGGAUAACAGGCUUAUCUCCCCCAAGAGUUCACAUCGACGGGGAGGUUUGGCACCUCGAUGUCGGCUCAUCGCAUCCUGGGGCUGUAGUCGGUCCCAAGGGUUGGGCUGUUCGCCCAUUAAAGCGGUACGCGAGCUGGGUUCAGAACGUCGUGAGACAGUUCGGUCCCUAUCCGUCGUGGGCGUAGGAAAUUUGAGAGGAGCUGUCCUUAGUACGAGAGGACCGGGAUGGACAUACCUCUGGUGUACCAGUUGUCGUGCCAACGGCAUAGCUGGGUAGCUAUGUGUGGACGGGAUAAGUGCUGAAAGCAUCUAAGCAUGAAGCCCCCCUCAAGAUGAGAUUUCCCAACUUCGGUUAUAAGAUCCCUCAAAGAUGAUGAGGUUAAUAGGUUCGAGGUGGAAGCAUGGUGACAUGUGGAGCUGACGAAUACUAAUCGAUCGAAGACUUAAUCAA